GGGGGGCGGCUGUGCUUUCCUGCAAGAGCUCGUGGGGUCUUUCAACACAACCGCCAAGUUCGGGGUGCGUGGGAGAAUGGACAAGACCUGUGAAAUGAGCUACAAGGUGGUGGACAGCCCGCUGGGGGAGAUUGAGAUCUCUGCCUGUGAGCAGGGUGUGCAUGAGAUCAGGCUGCACGGCAGGAAGACCCCCGAUGCCCGAGCCGUGGAGGCCCCCCCUCUUCCUGAGCUGCUCGGCUGUCCAGGGGAAAUGACGGCGCCCCUGAAGCAGUGCGUGGCCUGGCUGGAUGCCUAUUUCCAUGAGCCGGCGGCCCUCAAAGACCUCCCCUUGCCUGCGAUUCACCAUCCCGUUUUCCAGCGAGAUUCGUUCACCAGACAGGUGUUGUGGAAGCUGCUGAAGGUUGUCAGACUCGGAGAAACGGUUUCUUACCGGCAAUUAGCAGCCCUGGCAGGCAGGCCCCGAGCAGCGCGGGCAGUGGGCGGAGCGAUGAGGACCAAUCCUUCGCGUUUUGCUGAGAGGGAGAUCCCCUCCAGGCCACGCUGAACUCCCCAGAGGAUGAGCUGUGUGGGGUGGCCGCACGCCUGUUGUACCCCGUAGGACAGAGGGCACUUUCUCCCCGUCAUACCCGUACCUGGGCCGCCGGCCAUGCUGUCUCCGGAAGGAAGUCCACCCUGUCCAGAGCCUGGCAGGGGCCUGCUAGCACAUUCGAAACAGUUUCUCCCCGAAGCGGUGGGAACGUCUGCGACGGGAUAGAAGCGUGCCAUCCUGUCAGGGGAUGACAUCCUGGGGGAGCGCGACAUCCUGGGGGAGGAGUUACUACAUCAGACGGACCUCCCUCCUUUGAAAAUGGCUGUAGCUUUGCUGUGUGUCCUCAAAAUUCUCUUCAUCCCCGUUGACCCCGGGCGAGGCGGGCGUUCACACACCCCAACCCGCCGCUCUUGCCAGUUGGCACCGACUGCCCUUGGUCAGAGCCCGGCAUCUCUAGGAGACGGCGAUUACCCAGCUUUCCGCACGACACGGCCUUGUUUGGUUGAAGCAGCAGCUCAUAGAGGAUUGCAGUGGAUCUCACUGUCUUGAUGCGUGUCUGAUCUGGAGAAGAGCUCUCUGCCUUGUUAAAAUCCGAUUGUCCGAGCAGCAUGUGAUGUGGACGACACAUCACACCCAGCCCGCAUCUCCCCAUCUAGAGUCCUCGGCGGCCGUGGCUGCUGAGCCCAGCGGGUGUCCUGUUGUGUUUUCGCUGCCACGUGCCCAGCUGCGUCUUCAGAGUCCACCCCCUCCACACCCUGCACACCCUGUGGGUGCACACGCUGACCAUGCGCACAGGAUGACUCGGAAUCAGGUUUAUGAGCAUGAUUUUUUACGCUUCUGACAAACUUUGACCCGCAUCAUUCCUCAGAAAGGCCACCGCCUUCUCCCAGGUUGUGUCUCCAUGUUGAGCAGUUGGACCGUGCUCUGGAUAGAAAGACGGCUGGGACACCGUGGUAUCCGGGCUCCGUUUCAUGCCUUGUGAGAAGGACGUCAGAAGCUGGCCGGGCUCUGCCUGUCCCGUCCCCUCCCCCCCCCCCCCCCCCCCCCGCGGUAGUGGCAUCCUGUGGACAUCCUCCCUUUGUCCCAGAUCUUCAUCUGUGUUGCGGGCCCCAUUUCUGCUCUCCGUGCCCUGUGUGUAAAGUCGGUCACCCACGCUGCUCACGGAGGCUUGACUUGACUCCCACCGUGUGACGCAGCAGGUGGGUGCCGCCGUCGCUGCCCCGGGCGUGGCUGCCGCCCGCCUCUGCUCCGAGAACAAGCGUUGCUAACGGACGGCGCGCAUCCGUAGCCCCGCACCUGCCUUCUGUGUGAUGACAGCAGUUUCUCACUCUCUGAAAGGGACGUGCCGUCACUGUUCAGCGAUCACGCUCCUGGCAAUAUUCAGAAACAUUUAUUGUUCUGCAACCAGCAUGACUCUCUUCUCUUGCUAUUAAUCUCGAUGAACAUCUCUCUUCAACUGUGGCCUCAGUCACUGAAAUUUAUAAAAUAGGAUCUCCCAAGGCUUAAAUCCCUAAUGUCCGUAAAGUCAACGUAUUGACUUCCCCGCCUCGUGCCCAGGUCAAGAAUGGCAGCGACGACAUCAGGCAUGAGGACCGAGCAAGCGCCUGGUCCCUCCUCUUGGUGCUGUCCUGUGCCACGAGCAGCCAGGCACGAGCCAGGCCACGAGCCCUCGGGGCCUGGCCACGUGUCCCUCUGUUGUCGGGCGCCGCACGUAACCCAUGCAGGGACCGUCCACGCGAGGCGGUUGUGGAGAUGCCGGCAGCUGCAGGGCGGAGCAGGGCUUCCAGGCCUGGUGCCGACAUGCCACAGGUGCGCCUGCGAGAAAAACUUGGAAGGUGUAGCCAACUUCCGCUCAGCCUCCCAGGGAGCUCUGCGGUCCUCACGGGGUUCCCGUAAAGUUGAUCUAAAACCUCCUUGGAAUGGGCUGGGGCGUCCAAGAGGUGACCCAGGAACCCGCCACGACUGAUGUGGCUGCCCCACGUGGGUGCCCCCUUUCCUGGGUGCUGGCAGCACAAGGCCCAACGCGGAGCGCCACGCAUCAGCUCCAGCACCGACAGAGCAUCGCUGAGAGCUGCUCGUUGAAAAUCUCUCUCAGUUUAGGCUGAGUAGAGCAAUUGUACCUUUUGGGAAGGAGAGUAAAAAAAUGGGUUUGGAAUGUGGCAAAACAC